rnacentral:rRNA from 2 species
UGCCGGUGACAAACCGGAGGAAGGUGGGGAUGACGUCAAAUCAUCAUGCCCCUUAUGACCUGGGCUACACACGUGCUACAAUGGACGGUACAAAGAGCUGCAAGACCGCGAGGUGGAGCUAAUCUCAUAAAACCGUUCUCAGUUCGGAUUGUAGGCUGCAACUCGCCUACAUGAAGCUGGAAUCGCUAGUAAUCGCGGAUCAGCAUGCCGCGGUGAAUACGUUCCCGGGCCUUGUACACACCGCCCGUCACACCACGAGAGUUUGUAACACCCG